rnacentral:rRNA from 1 species
GCUAGCGGCAGGCCUAACACAUGCAAGUCGAACGGUAAGGUCCUUUCGGGGAUACACGAGUGGCGGACGGGUGAGUAACGCGUAUGUAACUUACCUCUAGCUUGAGGAUAGCUUCGAGAAAUCGAAAUUAAUACUCAAUGAAAUCUAAAUAACGCCUGUUAUUAAGAUGAAAGCUCCGGCGGCUAGAGAUAGGCAUGCGUGACAUUAGCCAGAUGGUGAGGUAAUGGCUCACCAUAGCUAUGAUGUCUAUGGGGUCUAAAAGGAUGGUCCCACACACUGGUACUGAGACACGGACCAGACUCCUACGGGAGGCAGCAGUGAGGAAUAUUGGUCAAUGGACGAAAGUCUGAACCAGCCAUGCCGCGUGCAGGAUGACAGCCCUACGGGUCGUAAACUGCUUUUAUACAGGAAGAAAAUAUCCCACGUGUGGGAAGCUGACGGUACUGUAUGAAUAAGCAUCGGCUAACUCCGUGCCAGCAGCCGCGGUAAUACGGAGGAUGCAAGCGUUAUCCGGAUUUAUUAGGUUUAAAGGGUGCGUAGGCGGAAAGGUAAGUCAGUGGUGAAAUCCUACAGCUUAACUGUAGAACUGCCAUUGAUACUGUUUUUCUUGAGUACAGUUGAGGUAGGCGGAAUGUGUAAUG